rnacentral:rRNA from 1 species
UACGUAGGGGGCUAGCGUUGUCCGGAUUUAUUGGGCGUAAAGAGCGUGUAGGCGGCCAGGUAGGUCUGGUGUGAAAACUCGAGGCUUAACCUCGAGAUGUCAUCGGAAACCAUCUGGCUAGAGUCCGGAAGAGGAGAGUGAAAUUCCUGGUGUAGCGGUGAAAUGCGCAGAUAUCAGGAAGAACACCAAUGGCGAAAGCAGCUCUCUGGGACGGUACUGACGCUGAGACGCGAAAGCGUGGGGAGCGAACAGG